UACGGAGGGUGCAAGCGUUAAUCGGAAUUACUGGGCGUAAAGCGUGCGCAGGCGGUUUGUUAAGUCCGUUGUGAAAGCCCCGAGCUCAACUUGGGAAUUGCAGUGGAUACUGGCAGGCUGGAGUACGGUAGAGGAAGGUGGAAAUUCCCGGUGUAGCAGUGAAAUGCGUAGAUAUCGGGAGGAACACCAGUGGCGAAGGCGGCCUUCUGGACCAGUACUGACGCUCAUGCACGAAAGCGUGGGGAGCAAACAGG
rnacentral:rRNA from 1 species